GAUGAACGCUGGCGGCGUGCUUAACACAUGCAAGUCGAGCGAGUGAGUUCUUCGGAACGAUCUAGCGGCGGACGGGUGAGUAACACGUGGGCAACCUGCCUCAUAGAGGGGAAUAGCCUCCCGAAAGGGAGAUUAAUACCGCAUAAAAUUAUCGAGUGGCAUCACAUGAUAAUCAAAGGAGUAAUCCGCUAUGAGAUGGGCCCGCGGCGCAUUAGCUAGUUGGUGAGGUAACGGCUCACCAAGGCGACGAUGCGUAGCCGACCUGAGAGGGUGAUGGGCCACAUUGGGGAUGAGACACGGCCCAGACUCCUACGGGAGGCAGCAGUGGGGAAUAUUGCACAAUGGGGGAAACCCUGAUGCAGCAACGCCGCGUGAGUGAUGAAGGUCUUCGGAUUGUAAAGCUCUGUCUUUGGGGACGAUAAUGACGGUACCCAAGGAGGAAGCCACGGCUAACUACGUGCCAGCAGCCGCCGCAG
rnacentral:rRNA from 1 species